CAGCCGCCGCGGUAAAACCAGCACCUCAAGUGGUCAGGAUGAUUAUUGGGCCUAAAGCAUCCGUAGCCGGCUCUGUAAGUUUUCGGUUAAAUCUGUACGCUUAACGUACAGGCUGCCGGGAAUACUGCAGAGCUAGGGAGUGGGAGAGGUAGACGGUACUCGGCAGGAAGGGGUAAAAUCCUUUGAUCUAUUGAUGACCACCUGUGGCGAAGGCGGUCUACCAGAACACGUCCGACGGUGAGGGAUGAAAGCUGGGGGAGCAAACCGGAUUAGAUACCCGGGUAGUCCCAGCUGUAAACUAUGCAAACUCAGUGAUGCAUUGACUUGUGGUCAAUGCAGUGCUGCAGGGAAGCCGUUAAGUUUGCCGCCUGGGAAGUACGUACGCAAGUAUGAAACUUAAAGGAAUUGGCGGGGGAGCAC
rnacentral:rRNA from 2 species